UUCAAGAUAUGCAUUUCAGUUUCAACUAAUCUUAACAUGAAUGCACUAGCAGCCCUAAACAAUGCCAAAAAUGUUUAUUAGCAAGUAUUUAGAAGUGUUGGUCAAGAUAUGCAAUUUAGAUUCAACUGAUCGUAACAUGAAUGCACUAGCAGCCCUAAACAAAGACAAAAUGUUCAUUAGUAUUUAGAACAAGCAUCAAGUCAUGUUGGUCAAGAUAUGCAAUUUAGAUUCAACUGAUCGUAACAUGAAUGCACUAGCAGCCCUAAACAAAGACAAAAUGUUCAUUAGUAUUUAGAACAAGCAUCAAGUCAUGUUGGUCAAGAUAUGCAAUUUAGAUUCAACUGAUCGUAACAUGAAUGCACUAGCAGCCCUAAACAAAACCAAAAUCUUCAUUAUAAGACACCACUGAAACUGGAAAGAGUCAGGAAAAUCAGAAAAUGGAUCAAUUUCAAGACCGAAAUCUGAAGCAAGGGAGAAAGGAAUGUAAGCGGGGCUGGAAUUAUGCUGAGUGAAUUCAUCCUCAAGUAAAAUAUCAGACGAAUCAGAGGGGAAACAUGUAACAGGAAAUCGAGAUCAAGAGGAACCUGUUGAACUAGUUUGAUCAUGGAUGAUUGAACUUGCUCAAGCAAUCCACUAUCUUCAGGCUCUUCACUGUCGUCCUCAAGGAGUGCCCAAAUUGAAUCGUAAUCAAUGUAGAUAUCAUUGUUAUCAAGUUGUCCACUCUCAGAUCCUGAUGUGUCAUCCACCGAGUGGUGAGAUAGAAUUGUGGGUAGUAGCUCGUUGUUGUGAAUUACCUUUAAAAUUACUUGUAUUAAUUAGAAUGUCUAGAUAAAAGAUGUAGAGAAUCGUACCCUCUACGAAAUCCAUUUUUCAGAAG
rnacentral:lncRNA from 1 species